UACGGGGGGGGCAAGGCGUUGUUCGGAAUUACUGGGCGUAAAGGGCUCGUAGGCGGCCAACUAAGUCGGAUGUGAAAUCCCCAGGCUUAACCUGGGAACUGCAUCCGAUACUGGAUGGCUUGAAUCCGGGAGAGGGAUGCGGAAUUCCAGGUGUAGCGGUGAAAUGCGUAGAUAUCAAGAGGAACACCUGAGGUGAAGACGGGGUUGCUGGGCCGUAACACUGACGCUGGAGUGCGCGAAAGCCAGGGGAGACAAACGGG
rnacentral:rRNA from 1 species